UACAGAGGGGGCAAGCGUUAUUCGGAAUUAUUGGGCGUAAAGGGCGCGUAGGCGGCUUUGCAAGUGACGGGUGAAAUCCCUCGGCUCAACCGAGGAACUGCGUCCGAUACUGGUGGGCUUGAAUCCGGGAGAGGGAUGUGGAAUUCCAGGUGUAGCGGUGAAAUGCGUAGAUAUCUGGAGGAACACCGGUGGCGAAGGCGGCAUCCUGGACCGGUAUUGACGCUGAGGCGCGAAAGCUAGGGGAGCAAACGGG
rnacentral:rRNA from 1 species